GUUUUUCUCCCUCUCUCUCCCUUCGUCUCUUUCCUUCCAUCUUCCAUCUUUCACUCCCUCCAUCAUCUUCACUAAAUCCUCCAAAAUCACCGUCAGAAUCGGACAAGAAGAAAGAAGGGACAUCCAUAGUCAAAGUUGGAGUUGGCUCAAUUCUAAACCGAACAAAGAGAGUUCAGAGUGGUGUUUCGUAUUGGGACUGCGCGGCGUUAAUUUUUCCACCUCAUUCAAACGAUAACAAAGAAGAAGAAAACAAAUAACAUGGCUAUCACAGGUUCUGGUUUUGGGCAGCCACAAUUCAUUUCAAGCACUGGCAACCAAAGCUUUUCCAACGCGCCACUCAUUGAGAACUCAGAUACUAAUCAAGUUGUUGUGCCUGAUGAUUUGAUGAAGAUGAUGUAGAGAAUGGAAGAUGGAAGAUGGAAGGAAAGAGACAGAGGGAGAGAGAGACGGAGAAAAGCUGAGAAAGAAUGACUAGUGUCAGAAAAAGAAAAAUGACGUGACAUUACACCGUUAGCCAUAUCAACUGGUUUUUAACGGUGUUAGUUUUGGAGGAUUAAAAUUAAAGUUUUCUUAAGGAGAAUGACUAAGAUGUACCUUACUUUGAAAGAGGGACUAAAACCAAAACCG